GCUGGUUGGCCAGGAAAUGAAUAUAAGUUCAACUUUAAAAAUACCUAAAAAACUGCUAAUUUUAUUGUAUUUUUAAAAGCUAGUCUAAAAGGGUACAGCUUUUUAGAUUAAGGAUACAACCUUCCUUAGAGAGUAAAAACAACCAAUACCAUAGUAGGCUUAAAAGCAGCCAUCAAUUAAGAAAGCGUUCAAGCUCAACAUCAAACUAAACCUUAAUCCCAAUAGUUAACAAGGAACUCCUAAUCCGAUACUGGACUAAUCUAUUAAUUUAUAGAGGCAAUAAUGUUAAUAUGAGUAACAAGAAAUAUUUCUCCUUGCAUAAGCUUAUGUCAGCAACGAAUACUCUACUGACAGUUAACACUUAAUAAACUUAACCCACCGAUAAACAAUUUAUUAAAUCCACUGUUAAUCCGACACAGGGAUGCAUUAAGGAAAGAUUAAAAGAAGCAAAAGGAACUCGGCAAACACGAGCCCCGCCUGUUUACCAAAAACAUCACCUCUAGCAUUACUAGUAUUAGAGGCACUGCCUGCCCAGUGACAUUAGUUAAACGGCCGCGGUAUCCUGACCGUGCAAAGGUAGCAUAAUCAUUUGUUCUUUAAAUAGGGACUUGUAUGAACGGCCACACGAGGGUUCUACUGUCUCUUGCUUCCAAUCAGUGAAAUUGACCUCCCCGUGCAGAGGCGGGGAUACACAAAUAAGACGAGAAGACCCUAUGGAGCUUUAAUUAACUAACUCAAAGAAAAUAUAAAUAACCGCCAAGGGAUAAUAAUCUUCUACCUGAGUUAGCAAUUUCGGUUGGGGUGACCUCGGAGAACAGAAAAACCUCCGAGUGACUAAAAUCUAGACUUACCAGUCAAAAUGUAGUGUCACUUAUUGAUCCAAAAUAUUUGAUCAACGGAACAAGUUACCCUAGGGAUAACAGCGCAAUCCUAUUCAAGAGUUCAUAUCGACAAUAGGGUUUACGACCUCGAUGUUGGAUCAGGACACCCCAAUGGUGCAGCCGCUAUUAAAGGUUCGUUUGUUCACGAUUAAAGUCCUACGUGAUCU
rnacentral:rRNA from 1 species